UUUGUUAUUUUGCCUAAAUAAUUUUCCUUUCUUCCCCAUUUUGCGCUUUUUCCUGUCCAUUAAACGAGUUUAAACCAAUCAUUUUCUCGUCAGUUAAAUACUAAUUUGAAAAUAUAAGAAUUUUCAGUAUAAAUUUUUUAAAUCACAUAAAUAAAUUAUAAAUUAGCCGCAGUACGAUGUUAAUAUGGUCAAAACAAGAAAAUCCAAUCCUUAUCCUCAUCCUCAACAAAAACAACAUGACUAAGACUAAUCAUCAUGCAUCUUUCUAUCGCUAUCAUCGUAAUAACCAACAACAUGAGUAAGCUAAUCAUCAGUUGUAUCAUCACUGUCAAUAUAAGUUACUAACUACAAUUACUGUUGUAUAUAUCAUCACUGUCACUCUAUUCCAAGUGUAAAAAUCUGUCAUCUCCCAAGAAGAAAACAACCACAACCCUUAAGGGAAAAACCCAACUUAUGUUUGAUCAAUAAGAUAGUAUUGGAAAAGAGCCUAUCUUCUUCAGGAAUCAAGCCAAAUAAACUGUAAACAGCAAUUGCAGGUUCAGGUUCUUUUGUUCCACUGUUCAAGCUUCCUACCAGUCUCCAAGAUAGCUUCAACAGCUAUAACUGAAAUAAUAGCGAAAGAGAAAACAAAACUUUUAACUUUCAUACUCCUAGAGAAGAAAACAAGAACGUAUAUUCGCAAAUAAAGUUAAGGAAGCCUUCUUAAUCCUAUGCGCAUCAACAAGUGGAGGCAAAGAAUCAAAUUUUCAGGCCCUAAUUAACUGAAAAGAGAAAGGAAUUGAGGAUUUUAAGCACCUGAUGUUUUAGAACGAAGGGCUUUCUCGAGCUUAGGCUCCAAUCCAUAGCGCGCUGAAACCGGAGCAGAGAUGGAGACUAUCUAGCAAACGAAAGAUGACGAAUUUUUCACUCUCUUUUUACGCCGUACUCGGAUCAAGCACCACCUUCUCACACGAAU
rnacentral:lncRNA from 1 species